rnacentral:rRNA from 1 species
UACGUAGGGGGCGAGCGUUGUCCGGAGUUACUGGGCGUAAAGGGCGCGCAGGCGGUCUGGUAAGUUUGGAGUGACAGUGCUCGGCUUAACUGAGCAAGGCCUUCGAAAACUGCUAGACUUGAGCACUCAAGGGGGACAUAGAAUUCCGGGUGGAGUGGUGAAAUGCGUAGAUAUCCGGAGGAAUACCAAAGGCGAAGGCAGUGUCCUGGGGAGCGUCUGACGCUCAGGCGCGAAAGCUAGGGGAGCGAACAGG